rnacentral:rRNA from 1 species
AUACCGAACACUAUGGUAGUAUGGGUUAAUAUAUUGUCGCGUCGUCACUUGAAUACCAAAGGUGAGCCAGUACAGGAUGGACCCGCGUCUGAUUAGCUAGUUGGUAAGGUAACGGCUUACCAAGGCGACGAUCAGUAGCCGACCUGAGAGGGUGAUCGGCCACAUGGGAACGGAGACACGGUCCAAACUCCUACGGGAGGCAGCAGUGGGGAAUAUUGCACAAUGGGCGAAAGCCUGAUGCAGCAACGCCGCGUGAGUGAUGAAGGCCUUCGGGUCGUAAAACUCUG